rnacentral:rRNA from 1 species
AACGAACGCUGGCGGCAUGCCUAACACAUGCAAGUCGAACGAGAUCUUCGGGUCUAGUGGCGCACGGGUGCGUAACGCGUGGGAAUCUGCCCUUUGGUUCGGAAUAACAGUUGGAAACGACUGCUAAUACCGGAUGAUGACGAAAGUCCAAAGAUUUAUCGCCAGAGGAUGAGCCCGCGUAGGAUCAGCUAGUUGGUGUGGUAAAGGCGCACCAAGGCGACGAUCCUUAGCUGGUCUGAGAGGAUGAUCAGCCACACUGGGACUGGGACACGGCCCAGACUCCUACGGGAGGCAGCAGUGGGGAAUAUUGCGCAAUGGGCGAAAGCCUGACGCAGCCAUGCCGCGUGAAUGAUGAAGGUCUUAGGAUUGUAAAGUUCUUUAGCCUGUGACGAUGAUGACGGUAACAGGAGAAUAAGCCCCGGCUAACUUCGUGCCAGCCGCCGCAGUAA